rnacentral:sRNA from 1 species
AUGUGCCAUUCGUACGCUGGGGUUCCUCGGCGCCGUCCACAUCCACCUGACGACCGCUCGCCACGUCUUGCCAGCC